ACGAACGCUGGCGGCGUGCCUCAUACAUGCAAGUUGAGCGCUGAAGGUUGGUACUUGUACCCACUGGAUGAGCAGCGAACGGGUGAGUAACGCGUGGGGAAUCUGCCUUUGAGCGGGGGACAGCAUUUGGAAACGAAUGCUAAUACCGCAUAAAAACUUUAAACACAAGUUUUAAGUUUGAAAGAUGCAAUUGCAUCACUCAAAGAUGAUCCCGCGUUGUAUUAGCUAGUUGGUGAGGUAAAGGCUCACCAAGGCGAUGAUACAUAGCCGACCUGAGAGGGUGAUCGGCCACAUUGGGACUGAGACACGGCCCAAACUCCUACGGGAGGCAGCAGUAGGGAAUCUUCGGCAAUGGACGAAAGUCUGACCGAGCAACGCCGCGUGAGUGAAGAAGGUUUUCGGAUCGUAAAACUCUGUUGGUAGAGAAGAACGUUGGUGAGAGUGGAAAGCUCAUCAAGUGACGGUAACUACCCAGAAAGGGACGGCUAACUACGUG
rnacentral:rRNA from 1 species